rnacentral:rRNA from 1 species
ACGAACGCUGGCGGCGUGGAUAAGACAUGCAAGUCGAACGAGAGAAUUGCUAGCUUGCUAAUAAUUCUCUAGUGGCGCACGGGUGAGUAACACGUGAGUAACCUGCCCCCGAGAGCGGGAUAGCCCUGGGAAACUGGGAUUAAUACCGCAUAGUAUCGAAAGAUUAAAGCAGCAAUGCGCUUGGGGAUGGGCUCGCGGCCUAUUAGUUAGUUGGUGAGGUAACGGCUCACCAAGGCGAUGACGGGUAGCCGGUCUGAGAGGAUGUCCGGCCACACUGGAACUGAGACACGGUCCAGACACCUACGGGUGGCAGCAGUCGAGAAUCAUUCACAAUGGGGGAAACCCUGAUGGUGCGACGCCGCGUGGGGGAAUGAAGGUCUUCGGAUUGUAAACCCCUGUCAUGUGGGAGCAAAUUAAAAAGAUAGUACCACAAGAGGAAGAGACGGCUAACUCUGUGCCAGCAGCCGCGGUAAUACAGAGGUCUCAAGCGUUGUUCGGAAUCACUGGGCGUAAAGCGUGCGUAGGCUGUUUCGUAAGUCGUGUGUGAAAGGCGCGGGCUCAACCCGCGGACGGCACAUGAUACUGCGAGACUAGAGUAAUGGAGGGGGAACCGGAAUUCUCGGUGUAGCAGUGAAAUGCGUAGAUAUCGAGAGGAACACUCGUGGCGAAGGCGGGUUCCUGGACAUUAACUGACGCUGAGGCACGAAGGCCAGGGGAGCGAAAGGGAUUAGAUACCCCUGUAGUCCUGGCAGUAAACGGUGCACGCUUGGUGUGCGGGGAAUCGACCCCCUGCGUGCCGGAGCUAACGCGUUAAGCGUGCCGCCUGGGGAGUACGGUCGCAAGAUUAAAACUCAAAGAAAUUGACGGGGACCCGCACAAGCGGUGGAGUAUGUGGCUUAAUUCGAUGCAACGCGAAGAACCUUACCUGGGCUUGACAUGUAAUGAACAACAUGUGAAAGCAUGCGACUCUGCGGAGGCGUUACACAGGUGUUGCAUGUCCUUCGUCAGCCCCUGUCGUGUGAUCUCUGGUUAAGUCCAGCUUCUAGCGCAAGCCCAUUUGCCAGUUACCAGCACGUGAAGGUGGGGACUCUGGCGAGACUGCCCAGAUCAACUGGGAGGAAGGUGGGGACGACGUCAGGUCAGUAUGGCCCCUAUGCCCAGGGCUGCACACGUACUACAAUGCCCAGUACAGAGGGGGCCGAAGCCGCGAGGCGGAGGAAAUCCUGAAAACUGGGCCCAGUUCGGACUGUAGGCUGCAACCCGCCUACACGAAGCCGGAAUCGCUAGUAAUGGCGCAUCAGCUACGGCGCCGUGAAUACGUUCCCGGGUCUUGUACACACCGCCCGUCACAUCAUGGAAGCCGGUCGCACCCGAAGUAUCUGAAGCCAACCGCAAGGAGGCAGGGUCCUAAGGUGAGACUGGUAACUGGGAUG